rnacentral:rRNA from 1 species
UACAGAGGUCCCAAGCGUUGUUCGGAUUUACUGGGCGUAAAGCGCACGUAGGCGGAUCGUUAAGUCGGGGGUGAAAUCCUGGAGCUCAACUCCAGAACUGCCUUCGAUACUGGCGAUCUUGAGUCCGGAAGAGGUGAGUGGAGCUCCUAGUGUAGAGGUGGAAUUCGUAGAUAUUAGGAAGAACACCAGUGGCGAAGGCGGCUCACUGGUCCGGUACUGACGCUGAGGUGCGAAAGCGUGGGGAGCAAACAGG